GACGAACGCUGGCGGCGUGCUUAACACAUGCAAGUCGAACGGAAAGGCCCUGCUUUUGUGGGGUGCUCGAGUGGCGAACGGGUGAGUAACACGUGAGUAACCUGCCCUUGACUUUGGGAUAACUUCAGGAAACUGGGGCUACUACCGGAUAGGAGAUCCUGCUGCAUGGUGGGGGGUGGAACGUUUCGGCGGUUGGGGAUGGACUCGCGGCUUAUCAGCUUGUUGGUGGGGUAGUGGCUGACCAAGGCUUUGACGGGUAGCCGGCCUGGGAGGGUGACCGGCGACAUUGGGACUGAGAUACGGCCCAGAGUCCUACGGGAGGCAGCAGUGGGGAAUAUUGCACAAUGGGCGGAAGCCUGAUGCAGCAACGCCGCGUGCGGGAUGACGGCCUUCGGGGUGUGAACCGCUUUCGCCUGUGACGAAGCGUGAGUGACGGUAAUGGGUAAAGAAGCACCGGCUAACUACGUG
rnacentral:rRNA from 1 species